UAUGAACGCUGGCGGCGUGCCUAACACAUGCAAGUCGAACGAAGCAAUUAAGAUGAAGUUUCGGUAUGGAAUCUUGAUUGACUGAGUGGCGGACGGGUGAGUAACGCGUGGAUAACCUGCCUCACACUGGGGGAUAACAGUUAGAAAUGACUGCUAAUACCGCAUAAGCGCACAGUGCCGCAUGGCAGUGUGUGAAAAACUCCGGUGGUGUGAGAUGGACCCGCGUUGGAUUAGCCAGUUGGCAGGGUAACGGCCUACCAAAGCGACGAUCCAUAGCCGGCCUGAGAGGGUGAACGGCCACAUUGGGACUGAGACACGGCCCAG
rnacentral:rRNA from 1 species